rnacentral:misc_RNA from 1 species
AUCCGCGUCUCUCUUUAGUUAGUCUCUCGCUCGCUCUUGUAGCCGUGCUUCCCCCCCCCCCCCAAUCGCCUCUGCGCACCCACCCAGCCACCACACGUUCAGAGGCCAUGCUUGCUAGCGCUCUUCGCCACUCCGCGGCUGAGGGCCACAGCUCGGCCGCGAGUGCUGUGGCAAAGAUUUCGAACAUCGAGCGCGCCGGCGCGUACCUGCGCUUCAGCACGCUGCGCGUGCACCCACACCACGAGCCGAACUACCGCGCCCGCCCGGUGGGGUGGAAGGCUUGGAACAGCAAGCAGUACAUGGACCCCUGGGCGCCCUACCCGCUCACAUCGCCGGUGCGCCAUGUUGACCGCCCGUUUUCCGGCAUGUGGUUCGGAAUGGGCCACUUCGCGCUGAAGAACUUCUUCGGCCCGUUGAACUGGAAAUUCUGGGCGCGCGUGUCGUUCUUCGGUACUCUUGGAUGGGUCUAUUCCCUCAGCUCGUACGCGCUGCGCAUGCACCGCAACGGCUGGGAGUGGAAGAACCGAGGCGCCGUCUUCUCCAUGGAUUGAGAAGCCGCGGCCACGCAUAUAUGUAUAUGUGUGUGUGCGCGCGCUCCUCCUCAGGGCCUCUCCUGAAGAGGCUGUUCGGCCUUCAUAUCGCCAUCCUCAGCGGUGGCGGUGGGCGCCUCCCUUCGGGCGUGAUGGUGCGCUGGCGCGAAGAGGCAGAACAGUAGAAACAAUAGGGAGCAGUGGCGGUGCGUGCCUGUGAGGUGAGGUGCGGCAUGGAAAGAUCCAUUGGUGUGUGUGUGUGUGUGGGGGGGGGGGGGGGGGGGGUAUCAGCACUUGUCGGUGAGUCCUUCGCAUGGAAGUCGGAUGGACAGCCCAUGUGCGAGAGAAGGACCCACGACCCAUGUGCGCCACCCACCCACCACCUGCCACCACCACGACCACCUUCUGCAGCCGCAUCUUCGCCUCUGCUGCGUCGUCUUAUCACUUUCCUUUCUUGCUCGUUUCUUGCUAGUAGUCGGACAUGUAUGCACCACCGCAUGCCCCACCCCCUUCGCUCUUCCCCGUAUCUCUGUCUUUGGCAAGGGGAAGCGGGUUGAAGAGUUCCUUGGAGGCGGUCGGGAGGGGAGAGUGUGUGCGUGCGUGCAGUUGUGGCGUUGAAUGAGGCGGCGCGGAAGAGGGAGGGGGAGGGUGCACAUGGCCGUGUGUGAGACCUGGAGCACAGCAUUCCCAGACGUGGCAACGACAGGGUGUGUUGAGAAGAUGAGUAGCGGAAGGCGGAAGCGCCUCUGUAUGUGUGCGUCUCCCGCGACACCCUGCUUUGCAUACACACGCACACGGCCCUCCCCGUGCCCACACGCUUCGCUCAUCACGCCACGCCACUUCCUCACUCGCCCACUGCGUAGUCGAACGCGCAACAGGAAAACGCGUGUGUGUGUGUGUGCGUCAUCAAAUUCUUUUCUUCUGUGUUUUGUGUUUUCACGUAGCUUAAAGUUCUGAGAAGGACUCGGAAACUGCAAGAGCACAUGCGUGUGUGUGUGUAUGUGUAUUGUGCGUUGUUUUCGCGGAUCCUCGUCCUUGAUGCGUGGCCGUGCGCGCGUCGGUGGGGCAGUGUGCUUGUGCAGACGUGUAUGCGUGUGUGUGUGUGUGUGUGUGUGUGUGUAGGUAGUUUUCUGUAUUUCCAUCUUCGUUGUGCGUCUGCCCAGUGCUUUCACCGACCCACCUCGCUCACCUCCUCCUUCGUCUCUCCGUGCGUCCCCCUCCUCCUCCCCCACCGGACCUGCCCCUUUGGACCGCGUGGAUACACGCAUGCACAUAAUACCCAAGCGUGUGCGUUGUCCGCCCCGUGUCCCCAGGCGGUUCGAUAAAGAGUGGCAGAGGCAGAGGGAGAGGGAGAGAUCGCCAAGCGGGUCGGUGUGCGAGCUCGUCGGCCUCCCCCUGUAUGCUGCGCCUCGUCCACAAGAAGUCAAACCCCAGUCGGGAAAAAG